rnacentral:tRNA from 1 species
AGGGUUGUGGCUCAGUGAUAGAGCACUUGCCUAGCAUGUGUGAGGCACUGGGUUCGAUCCCCAGCACCACAU